rnacentral:rRNA from 1 species
UACAGAGGUCCCAAGCGUUGUUCGGAUUCACUGGGCGUAAAGGGUGCGUAGGUGGCGAGAUAAGUCUGAUGUGAAAUCUCCGAGCUUAACUCGGAAAUGGCAUUGGAAACUGCCUUGCUAGAGGGUUGGAGGGGGGACUGGAAUACUUGGUGUAGCAGUGAAAUGCGUAGAUAUCAAGUGGAACACCAGUGGCGAAGGCGAGUCCCUGGACAACUCCUGACACUGAGGCACGAAAGCUAGGGGAGCAAACGGG